GGAGACUGUCAUUAGGCUGGAACCAGGUCUUAGUGAGUGACAGAAUAUGGAAAAUGUGAGAACGGAAAAGAUUUAAGAUGAAAUCUAGCUUUUUACACAUGGAGCAAAGAGCACAGAAGGAGUGGGUAGUUUUAAAGAAGGAUGUUGAGGUCGUCAUGAUGGGAAUAUAGAAUCACACAUUGUGAGACUUCAUAGGAACCUCAACAGCUAUAUAGUCCAAUUCACACCCAAACAGAAUCCCUACAACAGCACACCCAGUUCAAGACUUCUCUCAGAAGGAAGAAAGGAGGAAGCCCACACUAAACAGCUCUUUUAUUUCCCACCCAGGUAUAUUCUUCUGGUUUUCUCCAUCAUAUCCCCAUGCCAAGUUCUUUUUUUUUUUCUCUCCAACCCUUCCUUCCAUCAUUUUCCUUUCCUUAUGAGUGUUGUUUUCUAUCAUUAAAUUGGAAGCUCCUUGAGGAUAAAAUCUCUUAUGCCUUUUAUGGUAUCCUUUGUUUAGAAUAGUGCCUGACAUGUAAUUACUUAAUGAAUGCUUAUUGAUUGACUAACUGAUAUUACCUGGGUUCAUAUUUUUCCAACAUCAUCUACUUCCUGUGUGUGUCUUUGAUUAAAUCACUUAAGAUCUCCAGACAUCUAUUUAUUCAUUAAUAAAAUUAAUAAAAGAGGGAAGUUUGACCUGAUGCUCCCUGAUGUCCCUUUCAUCUCUAAAUCUAGAAUCUGUUGAUCUACCAUGAGUCUCAUAAUCCUGUAAGGUCAUUAUUGUAGUAGAUAGUACUCGGUCCAGAGACAGAAAAUCUUGAACUCAAAUUAAAACUUAGACGCUAGCUGGGUUACCCUUAGAGAAAUCAUAAAACCUCUCUCUGUCUGUUUCCUCAACUGUAAAAUUGGGAUUAUCCUAGCACUUGCUUCCCUACAUGGUUGAGAGGAUUAAAUGAGUUGAUAUUAUAAAGUAAUUAGCACCAGGACCUACA